GACGAACGCUGGCGGCGUGCUUAACACAUGCAAGUCGAACGGAAAGGCCCUGCUUUUGUGGGGUGCUCGAGUGGCGAACGGGUGAGUAACACGUGAGUAACCUGCCCUUGACUUUGGGAUAACUUCAGGAAACUGGGGCUAAUACCGGAUAGGAGCUCCUGCUGCAUGGUGGGGGUUGGAAAGUUUCGGCGGUUGGGGAUGGACUCGCGGCUUAUCAGCUUGUUGGUGGGGUAGUGGCUUACCAAGGCUUUGACGGGUAGCCGGCCUGAGAGGGUGGCCGGCCACAUUGGGACUGAGAUACGGCCCAGACUCCUACGGGAGGCAGCAGUGGGGAAUAUUGCACAAUGGGCGGAAGCCUGAUGCAGCAUCGCCGCGUGCGGGAUGACGGCCUUCGGGUUGUAAACCGCUUUCGCCUGUGACGAAGCGUGAGUGACGGUAAUGGGUAAAGAAGCACCGGCUAACUACGUG
rnacentral:rRNA from 1 species